rnacentral:rRNA from 1 species
CACGUAGGGUGCGAGCGUUGUCCGGAAUUAUUGGGCGUAAAGAGCUCGUAGGUAGUGUGUCGCGUCGGCCGUGAAAACCUGCAGCUUAACUGUGGGCUUGCGGUCGAUACGGGCAUCACUGGAGUUCGGCAGGGGAGACUGGAAUUCCUGGUGUAGCGGUGAAAUGCGCAGAUAUCAGGAGGAACACCGGUGGCGAAGGCGGGUCUCUGGGCCGAUACUGACGCUGAGGAGCGAAAGCGUGGGGAGCGAACAGG